GAGAUCUGUUCCUUCCCAGAUCAACUUCUUAUACUGUUCCAUCUUCAGUAAUUUUUAAUUAAAUUUUUAAUUUUUCAAAAUUAAAUGACAAUACAGUGAAUUUCCCAAUUAAAAAAAUUACUUAAGGUCAGCAUCAAGGAGGAAAAGUGGCUUCUCUCCAUCGCCGCCCGGCUGUCAUCACAUUAUAGCCUAAGUGGUGGAAGGAGGUCAACAGCUAAUAAAUCUUAUUCCUCAAUAACUCUGCUGAGACUCAGCAGAAAAGCAGCCUGUGACCAUCACUUUAUCCAUUUUUCUCCUGUGCAAAAGAAAUUCUGAGGCAAGUGCAAAUGAGAGACUCUAAUGGGAUAAUUAAGACAGAAGUAUUUGA